CGGAGUAUAAAAGUGCAUUAGAACCCUAUGUCGCUCGAUACGUCGAGUUGAGGUGUGAAUUGGGUUUGAAGUGAGUUAGUUUCGAGGACGAAACUCCUUUUAAGGAGGGGAGGAUGUAAGGUACCGGACUUCUAAAAUUAUGAAGCUACGGUGUAAAUUUGAUUGGAGAGCCAUUUGAAGGGUUCCGGUGAAGUUCGGUGAAGUUUGGAAGCAUCCGGGCGAUUCGGUGCGCGUAGGCGCGAAAACGGGACCCGAAAGACUAUGUCGGA
rnacentral:lncRNA from 1 species